rnacentral:rRNA from 1 species
CCUACGGGUGGCUGCAGUGAGGAAUAUUGGUCAAUGGGCGGAAGCCUGAACCAGCCAAGUAGCGUGCGGGAUGAAGGCCCUACGGGUCGUAAACCGCUUUUGCACGGGGAUAACACCCUCCACUUGUGGAGGUCUGCAGGUACCGUGCGAAUAAGGGCCGGCUAAUUCCGUGCCAGCAGCCGCGGUAAUACGGAAGGCCCGAGCGUUAUCCGGAUUCAUUGGGUUUAAAGGGUGCGUAGGCGGAAGGUUAAGUCAGCGGUCAAAUGUCUGUGCUCAACACCGGCCUGCCGUUGAAACUGGUCUUCUUGAGUGAGCGAGAAGUAUGCGGAAUGCGUGGUGUAGCGGUGAAAUGCAUAGAUAUCACGCAGAACUCCGAUUGCGAAGGCAGCAUACCGGCGCUCAACUGACGCUGAGGCACGAAAGCGUGGGGAUCGAACAGGAUUAGAUACCCGAGUAGUC